CUAGAGAUAGAAAGUUACUUCGGUACCAGUCGGUGACAGGUGGUGCAUGGUUGUCGUCAGCUCGUGUCGUGAGAUGUUGGGUUAAGUCCCGCAACGAGCGCAACCCCUAUUGUUAGUUGCCAUCAUUCAGUUGGGCACUCUAGCGAGACUGCCGGUAAUAAACCGGAGGAAGGUGGGGGAUGACGUCAAAUCAUCAUGCCCCUUAUGACCUGGGCUACACACGUGCUACAAUGGUUGGUACAACGAGUUGCGAGUCGGUGACGGCGAGCUAAUCUCUUAAAGCCAAUCUCAGUUCGGAUUGUAGGCUGCAACUCGCCUACAUGAAGUCGGAAUCGCUAGUAAUCGCGGAUCAGCACGCCGCGGUGAAUACGUUCCCGGGCCUU
rnacentral:rRNA from 1 species